rfam:Tupaia chinensis contig118317, whole genome shotgun sequence.
AAAAUGGUUCUCUUAAGAACCAUUUAUUGUUUAAUAAUACUACUG